rnacentral:rRNA from 1 species
GGCGGACGGCUGAGUAACGCGUAGGUGACCUACCCCGAAGUGGGGAAUAACUGCCCGAAAGGGUGGCUAAUACCGCAUGUGGUGAUGCGUUCAUUCGCAUCAGUAAAGCCGCAAGGCGCUUCGGGAGGGGCCUGCGUCCGAUUAGCUCGUUGGUGGGGUAACGGCUCACCAAGGCGAACGAUCGGUAGGUGGUCUGAGAGGACGAUCACCCAGACUGGGACUGAGACACGGCCCAGACUCCUACGGGAGGCAGCAGUCGGGAAUUUUGCUCAAUGGGGGAAACCCUGAAGCAGCAACGCCGCGUGAGGGAUGAAGGCCUUCGGGUUGUAAACCUCUUUUCUCAGGGAAGAUGAUGACGGUACCUGAGGAAUAAGCCCACGGGGCUUAACUACGUGCCAGCCGCCGCGG